rnacentral:rRNA from 1 species
UACGUAGGGUGCGAGCCGUUGUCCGGAAUUAUUGGGCGUAAAAGAGCUUGUAGGCGGUCUGUCGCGUCUGCUGUGAAAAUCCGGGGCUCAACCCCGGACUUGCAGUGGGUACGGGCAGACUAGAGUGUGGUAGGGGAGACUGGAAUUCCUGGUGUAGCGGUGAAAUGCGCAGAUAUCAGGAGGAACACCGGUGGCGAAGGCGGGUCUCUGGCCGAAUGACUGACGCUGGAGGAGCGAAAGCGUGGGGAGCGAACAG